UUGCCUUCCCAAGAUCGCUCGCACACCUGUCACGUUCAUGAUCGGCCUCCUCAACUGUGUAUCGAUCGAAAGGAAGGGCGACAGAGCCCCCAACCGACGGGAGUAGUUACGUCCAGUAUGCCCCCCCUCGAUUCCCGACAUGCUAUGAUACCAGGGUGGGUAGGAGCGGGUCGAGUUCGUAUCACCGCGGAACAACUGCAGCGUCCUGAUCUGAUCUAUCUACUCGGCAAUUCAUCUAGUGACUUCACGGUUGCCAAAGAAGCCCCAAGAAGCACAAGUGUGGAAAAGGAUAGUAACCUUGCCCCUUCUAUCUUUUUCUCUCAAUUUUUCUUUUUUUUGCUUGGGCUCUUUUGGCAUUUUUUUAUUUCCUCACUAGGACAAUGCUCUAAUAAUGAUGAUCAUCACACUUCUAUUUAUUUACAACUCGAUAAAACCGAAAAGUAUGACUCUAUAUGA
rnacentral:rRNA from 1 species